CACACAUACAGACACACACACACAAUAAAUAUAUAUCUCCAGAUUGUACACAGCAUAUAUAAUGUUUAAUGAAACAUGUUAAAUAAAUAACUAUAAUGUAAUAGUUCUUAUAGGAGCUAAAUGUUAUAUAUUAAAGACUUACAUGAUGAAACUAUACAAUCCAUAUUAUCUGUCAAACAACAUGUAAAACAAACAGACCAUUUUAUGCAUUACGUAUAUGAAAUGGAAUGCCCUUCUUUUGAAAGGUCCAAGCUACUGUCCUGGAAUGCCAGCUCACCACCUGGUGCCCCCAAGGGAGGAGAGAAGCAGCCCAUGGUCCCUGGUCUCCCAAAGCUCAUGCUGCACCUCAGCCCUUGCUCCAUCCAGCCCUCUCCCUAACUGACAGAUAUCUUUGAGGAAAAGAUCCCAAAAGAUGAAUUCCUGACUGGGGUCAUGGAGUUAACAUUAUCUCUUACAGCGCCCUGCCGCGGAGAGUUAAGACAAGCCCUGUCGUCUGCGGGCUCUCACCUCAGAGUCAAUAUUAUCUCAGAUGGGCACAAUAGACUGGAAUGAAAAGCUAAUAUUGAACCAACGCGGUCCCUGCCGCGCCGCGCCGAUGCCACCCUUUGUCGCGCAGCCCCCGUAAAUCAGGAUGGGGUAUGUGGAGAGACUGACAGUUUUGAUGUGAUGAAGGAGGUAAAACUCAGUGGUCCUGCAUGUGCCUCCUGGAGCUGUGCAGAAUUCCCGAGGAAACGUUGACUCUCAACAGGAAUAUCAAGGGAGAUCCCGAGGCUCACGGCUCUCCGCUGGCAUCUGGACAGUGCCUGUCUCCUGCAGCCACCCCGGGCAGCAGAGGCCGGGACCAGCGUUGAGAUCCGCCUGCCAGGACUCGGCCCCUCGAGGUCGGCACCCAGAGCAGUAAGGCAGAAGGCCGUCGCUGCCCCUUCACACCACACGGUUUUCCAGCAAAUACCGAGCUGAUCCCACCGCCUAUGCCCGAGGAGAGCAAAGCAGGGUGCCCUGGGAAGGUGGGAUCCGCGCACUCCAGAAGGCAGGGGCGCAUCAUCAGGGCCCAUCUGGGCAGCCCACCAGUCCCCGUGGGAUCAGUUGCUAUCUCCGCAAUAAUUAGACCCUCUGUCUGGGGGCGUUCCCCGCCAGCCGCAAGGGGGCGCGAAUCCGGGAGCGCUGCUACCCCAGCCUUCCCACUCCGGCACGACUAGGGCCCCGCGGAACUUCGCGGGCUCAUUCUCCGAGCCACCGUGGUGGGGCAGGGGGAUCCGAGACUGUGGGCAUGGAGUUACGGCCGCCUUUGCAUGAUAGCUGGCCGUUGGCCCGGGUUAGGUGGUCACCACCACCCAGUUCUUCUUAAAGCAGAAUCUGUCCCCUCCUUUCCGCCGCCCAAUUCGCUGGAAAUGCACUGGAGGAUGAACUACGGAGCGGAAAGCUGGGUUGAAGCAGAUACAUUUCCAAGCCGUUCACUCUCCUCGCCGCCCGAAGAGUUUGGAGAAGCGGAGUGACUGGGAAUCACAGUGAAUUACCGAACUUCCUAACUUGCCUCCCCGUCUCUGGUCACCUUUUGCCAGCCUUGGACCCGGGAGAGGGCUCACCCUUCGCCGGCAGCCGGCAGCGGCGCUUCCCGCGCUGCGCCGCUGACGCACAGUGAAGACUCAGAGCUUUGGCUGGUCCGGAGACUCCAAACCCGGGUGACCUGGGUAUGGCGCGGUGCUCAUGGGCCAGAGCGCACAAGGCUCGGGUUGCAAAUGCUGUAACUAAAAUGUGAUGAGCGCAAACAGUGUGCCAAGCUCACCUAUUCAACAACCAUUAAGAUAUUGAUAUUUCCUUUUCACGGAGGCGACAGCCAAGGCUGGAGAAAAUGGAAUCAUACAGCCCUGAACCCAGAGGACUCCUACGCACCCCCAGUCAGGGCCCACUCCAGAGCAAUGGGAGAGGGAGCGGGCCCUCGGGCGGCUGUUCCUCGGAAGUGUAAGGGCCAGACAAACUCCGAGCAGCGAGCAGCGGUUCUCAGAGCUCCCCAGGAAUCUCUGCCCUUUGUCGCUCCAGUGAGCUAGGACUCCAGGCUCCUCUCACCCUGGCACCUCCUAAAGGAACUUCAGGGCCUCUGCUGGAGCUUGGAGCAGCGUCAGACCGGCGUUAACUCAUUUGUACAACUUGAUUGUUCAGUCUUU
rnacentral:lncRNA from 1 species